rnacentral:rRNA from 1 species
GAUGAACGCUAGCUACAGGCUUAACACAUGCAAGUCGAGGGGCAGCAUGGUCUUAGCUUGCUAAGGCCGAUGGCGACCGGCGCACGGGUGAGUAACACGUAUCCAACCUGCCGUCUACUCUUGGACAGCCUUCUGAAAGGAAGAUUAAUACAAGAUGGCAUCAUGAGUCCGCAUGUUCACAUGAUUAAAGGUAUUCCGGUAGACGAUGGGGAUGCGUUCCAUUAGAUAGUAGGCGGGGUAACGGCCCACCUAGUCUUCGAUGGAUAGGGGUUCUGAGAGGAAGGUCCCCCACAUUGGAACUGAGACACGGUCCAAACUCCUACGGGAGGCAGCAGUGAGGAAUAUUGGUCAAUGGGCGAGAGCCUGAACCAGCCAAGUAGCGUGAAGGAUGACUGCCCUAUGGGUUGUAAACUUCUUUUAUAAAGGAAUAAAGUCGGGUAUGCAUACCCGUUUGCAUGUACUUUAUGAAUAAGGAUCGGCUAACUCCGUGCCAGCAGCCGCGGUAAUACGGAGGAUCCGAGCGUUAUCCGGAUUUAUUGGGUUUAAAGGGAGCGUAGAUGGAUGUUUAAGUCAGUUGUGAAAGUUUGCGGCUCAACCGUAAAAUUGCAGUUGAUACUGGAUAUCUUGAGUGCAGUUGAGGCAGGCGGAAUUCGUGGUGUAGCGGUGAAAUGCUUAGAUAUCACGAAGAACUCCGAUUGCGAAGGCAGCCUGCUAAGCUGCAACUGACAUUGAGGCUCGAAAGUGUGGGUAUCAAACAGGAUUAGAUACCCUGGUAGUCCACACGGUAAACGAUGAAUACUCGCUGUUUGCGAUAUACGGCAAGCGGCCAAGCGAAAGCGUUAAGUAUUCCACCUGGGGAGUACGCCGGCAACGGUGAAACUCAAAGGAAUUGACGGGGGCCCGCACAAGCGGAGGAACAUGUGGUUUAAUUCGAUGAUACGCGAGGAACCUUACCCGGGCUUAAAUUGCAGAUGAAUUACGGUGAAAGCCGUAAGCCGCAAGGCAUCUGUGAAGGUGCUGCAUGGUUGUCGUCAGCUCGUGCCGUGAGGUGUCGGCUUAAGUGCCAUAACGAGCGCAACCCUUGUUGUCAGUUACUAACAGGUUCUGCUGAGGACUCUGACAAGACUGCCAUCGUAAGAUGUGAGGAAGGUGGGGAUGACGUCAAAUCAGCACGGCCCUUACGUCCGGGGCUACACACGUGUUACAAUGGGGGGUACAGAGGGCCGCUACCACGCGAGUGGAUGCCAAUCCCCAAAACCUCUCUCAGUUCGGACUGGAGUUCUGCAACCCGACUCCACGAAGCUGGAUUCGCUAGUAAUCGCGCAUCAGCCACGGCGCGGUGAAUACGUUCCCGGGCCU